rnacentral:rRNA from 1 species
AAACCAACAGGGAUUGCCCUAGUAACGGCGAGUGAAGCGGCAACAGCUCAAAUUUGAAAUCUGGCUUUCGGGCCCGAGUUGUAAUUUGUAGAGGAUACUUUUGAUGCGGUGCCUUCCGAGUUCCCUGGAACGGGACGCCAUAGAGGGUGAGAGCCCCGUCUGGUUGGAUGCCAAAUCUCUGUAAAGUUCCUUCGACGAGUCGAGUAGUUUGGGAAUGCUGCUCUAAAUGGGAGGUAUAUGUCUUCUAAAGCUAAAUAUUGGCCAGAGACCGAUAGCGCACAAGUAGAGUGAUCGAAAGAUGAAAAGCACUUUGAAAAGAGAGUUAAAAAGUACGUGAAAUUGUUGAAAGGGAAGCGUUUAUGACCAGACUUGGACUUGGUUAAUCAUCUGGGGUUCUCCCCAGUGCACUUUUCCAGUUCAGGCCAGCANCAGUUUUCGCCGGGGGAUAAAGGCUUCGGGAAUGUAGCUCUCUUCGGGGAGUGUUAUAGCCCGUUGUGUAAUACCCUGGUGGAGACUGAGGUUCGCGCUUCUGCAAGGAUGCUGGCGUAAUGGUCAUCAACGAC